rnacentral:rRNA from 1 species
UACGUAGGGUGCGAGCGUUAAUCGGAAUUACUGAGCGUAAAGCGUGCGUAGGCGGUUCGCUGUGUCCGAUGUGAAAGCCCCGGGCUUAACCUGGGAAUGGCAUUGGAAACUGGCGGGCUUGAGUGCGGCAGAGGGGGGUGGAAUUCCGCGGUGUAGCAGUGAAAUGCGUAGAGAUGCGGAGGAACACCGAUGGCGAAGGCAGCCCCCUGGGUCGACACUGACGCCUCGAGGACGAAGCGUGGG